UAAAAUGUGCUUCGCUCAUCUGCUGCUGCUACAGAUGAGUAAGGAGUACUGGAGCUCACCAACUGCAUCUUGACCGGGAUCGAUGCCCUCUUCCUCUUCCAUGUUCAUAUCAUCUUGGAUUGCUGCCUGUUCUGAAGUUGGUGCAAUGGAGCUUGGAGCUCCACCUGCUGGACCUGGAGCCUGUUCAGGACCUGAAGUCAGCGGUGAUCUGCA